UACGUAGGGACCAAGCGUUGUUCGGAUUUACUGGGCGUAAAGGGCGCGUAGGCGGCGUGUCAAGUCAAUUGUGAAAUCUCCGGGCUUGAACUCGGAACGGUCAAUUGAUAACUGAUGUGCUAGAGUGCAGAAGGGGCAAUCGGAAUUCUUGGUGGUAGCGGUGAAUGCGUAGAUAUACGAGAGGAACACCUGCGGCGAAGGCGGG
rnacentral:rRNA from 1 species